rnacentral:rRNA from 1 species
UGGAGUUUGAGGAGCUUAACACCUUCAUGCUUUGCAUAUUCGUGCUCUUGGGUGUACUUGCCCCGUGUGGUUGGUUAACAUCAAUUUCGGGCACCAUAAAAUGGCUGGAGGAAUGUAGCUUCGAUCUUGUAUUGAAGUGUUAUAGUCUUCGGUAGAUGUGGUGAUCGAGAUUGAGGAUUGCAACGGAUACCUUUCGGGGCUACCUGUCUGGUCUCUGAUCGUUGCUUUGGUGCUGAAAGCGUGCUUAUAGUUAUCAAAGUCGAUGGUCAAUAGGUUAGAAUGGGUUAAA